ACUUAGUGGCGAACGGGUGCGUAACACGUGAGUAAUCUGCCGAGAAGUGGGGGAUAACUCGCCGAAAGGCGAAUUAAUACCGCAUACGGCUAGGAAAGACAUCUUUCCAAUGCCAAAGUCGCAAGACGCUUCUUGAUGAACUCGCGGCCUAUCAGCUUGUUGGUGAGGUAACGGCUCACCAAGGCAACGACGGGUAGCUGGUCUGAGAGGACGACCAGCCACACUGGAACUGAGACACGGUCCAGACACC
rnacentral:rRNA from 1 species